GUCUGGCUGGCUCAGUUGGAAAAGCAUGAGAUUCUUGAUCUCAGCGUCAUGAGUUCAAGCCCUAUGUUGGGCA
rnacentral:tRNA from 1 species